rnacentral:rRNA from 1 species
UACGUAGGUGGCGAGCGUUGUCCGGAUUUACUGGGCGUAAAGAGCGCGCAGGCGGUCGUACAAGUCGCGUGUGAAAGCCCCCGGCUCAACUGGGGAGGGUCACGCGAUACUGUUCGACUCGAAGGCAGGAGAGGGAAGUGGAAUUCCCGGUGUAGUGGUGGAAUGCGUAGAUAUCGGGAGGAACACCAGUGGCGAAGGCGGCUUCCUGGACCGGUUCUGACACUGAGGAGCGAAAGCGUGGGGAGCGAUCCGG